rnacentral:pre_miRNA from 1 species
AUGUAGUGUGACAUGCCCGUUUGGGUUUUACUAUAAUUGCUGAAAUAUUAUUAUUUAAUUGAUUUUGGGAAACAGGGUGUUACAUUAGC